rnacentral:rRNA from 1 species
AACGAACGCUGGCGGCGUGGAUAAGACAUGCAAGUCGAACGCUGAUUUAAGGGUAGCAAUAUUCUUGAGUCAGAGUGGCGCAAGGGUGCGUAACACGUGGGCAAUCUACCGCGAAGACCGGAAUAACCUGCUGAAAGGCGGGCUAAUGCCGGAUGUGACUGUCUGAAGGAUUCUUCGGACACUCAAAGUUGGGGACCGUAAGGCCUGACACUUCGCGAUGAGCCCGCGGCCUAUCAGCUAGUUGGCGGGGUAACGGCCCACCAAGGCUAAGACGGGUAGCUGGUCUGAGAGGACGACCAGCCACACUGGAACUGAGACACGGUCCAGACACCUACGGGUGGCAGCAGUCGAGAAUUUUUCACAAUGGGCGAAAGCCUGAUGGAGCGACGCCGCGUGGGGGAUGAAGGGCUUCGGCUCGUAAACCCCUGUCAUUCGAGAACAAACCCUGCGAUUAAAUAGAUCGCGGGCUGAUAGUAUCGGAAGAGGAAGGGACGGCUAACUCUGUGCCAGCAGCCGCGGUAAGAC